UACGGGGGGGGCAAGCGUUGUUCGGAAUUACUGGGCGUAAAGGGCUCGUAGGUGGCCAACUAAGUCAUACGUGAAAUCCCUCGGCUUAACCGGGGAACUGCGUCUGAUACUGGAUGGCUUGAGGUUGGGAGAGGGAUGCGGAAUUCCAGGUGUAGCGGUGAAAUGCGUAGAUAUCUGGAGGAACACCGGUGGCGAAAGCGGCUCACUGGACCACAACUGACGCUGAUGCACGAAAGCUAGGGGAGCAAACAGG
rnacentral:rRNA from 1 species